CUUAAAUGAAAUUAGCUGCAUAAGAGAUGCAAACCCUUCAAGAUCUGUUGGAAUUGUUCCUGGCUUCACAGUCUGAUUGGCUUCUGAUAAAUGAGCAGGAAAAAGAGAGCCAGGGGUAAUCGCUUUAAGUGGACGGACGGAUCCCCUUGGAUAUUCACAAACUGGAUGCUGGGGGAGCCAAAUAAUGUUGGUUCAGAUGAAAACUGCAUAGAGAUAUUCCGCAAAGAUGAUAGCCGAUGGAAUGAUAUCAACUGUUAUGAUCAAAAGUCCUUCAUCUGUUCAUAUAGGGCAUGAUGUUAGACUAAGGAACCUGGUCCAUUGUGUUUGCUUCUGUUUUCUUCAUUUUCCUGAACACACCAAUGCUACUUUCUUCAAUGACCUUAAAUCAAGAUGAUGUAAGAGGCUGAUUCAGUGAUGUUUCUCUGGCUUGUUGUCAUCUUAGUCAUCUUGAUUUGGUACAAGUUACCCCACGUACAGGCCCCAUUCACAAAGUUAAAUUAGCAUUGUAUUUAAGUUUUGUGAUUAUUAAUUCUUUAAUGAUGCGUAUGUGGACUCAGUUAUGUCUUUCUCUAUCUAAUAAAGCUAUAUUGAUGCA